CAUGGCUCAGGAUGAACGCUAGCUACAGGCUUAACACAUGCAAGUCGAGGGGCAGCAUUUUAGUUUGCUUGCAAACUGAAGAUGGCGACCGGCGCACGGGUGAGUAACACGUAUCCAACCUGCCGAUAACUCCGGAAUAGCCUUUCGAAAGAAAGAUUAAUACCGGAUAGCAUACGAAUAUCGCAUGAUAUUUUUAUUAAAGAAUUUCGGUUAUCGAUGGGGAUGCGUUCCAUUAGUUUGUUGGCGGGGUAACGGCCCGCCAAGACUACGAUGGAUAGGGGUUCUGAGAGGAAGGUCCCCCACAUUGGAACUGAGACACGGUCCAAACUCCUACGGGAGGCAGCAGUGAGGAAUAUUGGUCAAUGGGCGAGAGCCUGAACCAGCCAAGUAGCGUGAAGGAUGAAGGCUCUAUGGGUCGUAAACUUCUUUUAUAUGGGAAUAAAGUUUUCCACGUGUGGAAUUUUGUAUGUACCAUAUGAAUAAGGAUCGGCUAACUCCGUGCCAGCAGCCGCGGUAAUACGGAGGAUCCGAGCGUUAUCCGGAUUUAUUGGGUUUAAAGGGAGCGUAGGUGGAUUGUUAAGUCAGUUGUGAAAGUUUGCGGCUCAACCGUAAAAUUGCAGUUGAAACUGGCAGUCUUGAGUACAGUAGAGGUGGGCGGAAUUCGUGGUGUAGCGGUGAAAUGCUUAGAUAUCACGAAGAACUCCGAUUGCGAAGGCAGCUCACUAGACUGUCACUGACACUGAUGCUCGAAAGUGUGGGUAUCAAACAGGAUUAGAUACCCUGGUAGUCCACACAGUAAACGAUGAAUACUCGCUGUUUGCGAUAUACAGUAAGCGGCCAAGCGAAAGCAUUAAGUAUUCCACCUGGGGAGUACGCCGGCAACGGUGAAACUCAAAGGAAUUGACGGGGGCCCGCACAAGCGGAGGAACAUGUGGUUUAAUUCGAUGAUACGCGAGGAACCUUACCCGGGCUUAAAUUGCAACAGAAUAUAUUGGAAACAGUAUAGCCGUAAGGCUGUUGUGAAGGUGCUGCAUGGUUGUCGUCAGCUCGUGCCGUGAGGUGUCGGCUUAAGUGCCAUAACGAGCGCAACCCUUAUCUUUAGUUACUAACAGGUUAUGCUGAGGACUCUAGAGAGACUGCCGUCGUAAGAUGUGAGGAAGGUGGGGAUGACGUCAAAUCAGCACGGCCCUUACGUCCGGGGCUACACACGUGUUACAAUGGGGGGUACAGAAGGCGGCUACCUGGUGACAGGAUGCUAAUCCCAAAAACCUCUCUCAGUUCGGAUCGAAGUCUGCAACCCGACUUCGUGAAGCUGGAUUCGCUAGUAAUCGCGCAUCAGCCAUGGCGCGGUGAAUACGUUCCCGGGCCUUGUACACACCGCCCGUCAAGCCAUGAAAGCCGGGGGUACCUGAAGUACGUAACCGCAAGGAGCGUCCUAGGGUAAAACUGGU
rnacentral:rRNA from 1 species